AUUAAACGCUGGCGGCAUGCCUUACACAUGCAAGUCGAACGGUAGCGCGGGGCAACCUGGCGACGAGUGGCGAACGGGUGAGUAAAGCAUCGGAACGUGCCCUGGAAUGGGGGAUAACGUAGCGAAAGUUACGCUAAUACCGCAUAUUCUGUGAGCAGGAAAGCAGGGGAUCGCAAGACCUUGCGCUCUGGGAGCGGCCGAUGUCGAAUUAGCUAGUUGGUGGGGUAAAGGCCUACCAAGGCGACGAUCCGUAGCGGGUCUGAGAGGAUGAUCCGCCACACUGGGACUGAGACACGGCCCAGACUCCUACGGGAGGCAGCAGUGGGGAAUUUUGGACAAUGGGCGAAAGCCUGAUCCAGCCAUGCCGCGUGAGUGAAGAAGGCCU
rnacentral:rRNA from 1 species